GACGUAGGGCGCGAGCGUUGUCCGGAUUUAUUGGGCGUAAAGAGCUCGUAGGCGGCUUGUCGCGUCGACUGUGAAAACCCGCGGCUCAACCGAGGACGUGCAUCCAAAACUGCUGGGCUUGAGUACUGAAGAGGAUCGCGGAAUUCCCGGUGUAGAGGUGAAAUUCGUAGAUAUCGGGAGGAACACCAGUGGCGAAGGCGGCGAUCUGGGCAGAUACUGACGCUGAGGUGCGAAAGCGUGGGGAGCGAACAGG
rnacentral:rRNA from 1 species